rnacentral:tRNA from 1 species
GGUUAGGUAGCUUAGUGGUAUAGCACUUGCCUAGCAUGUAUGAGGCAGUGGGUUCGAUUCUCAGCACCAAACUU